rfam:Ictidomys tridecemlineatus contig119662, whole genome shotgun sequence.
GUGGCUGUGGCUCAGUGGUGGAGCACUUGUCUCACAUGUGUGAGGCACUGGGUUAGAAUCUCAGCACCACA